AGGAAAAGAAAUCAACCGAGAUUCCCCCAGUAGCGGCGAGCGAACGGGGAGGAGCCCAGAGCCUGAAUCAGCAUGUGUGUUAGUGGAAGCGUCUGGAAAGGCGCGCGAUACAGGGUGACAGCCCCGUACACAAAAGCGCAUGUGCUGUGAGCUCGAUGAGUAGGGCGGGACACGUGGUAUCCUGUCUGAAUAUGGGGGGACCAUCCUCCAAGGCUAAAUACUCCUGACUGACCGAUAGUGAACCAGUACCGUGAGGGAAAGGCGAAAAGAACCCCGGCGAGGGGAGUGAAAAAGAACCUGAAACCGUGUACGUACAAGCAGUGGGAGCACAGGUUUACCUGUGUGACUGCGUACCUUUUGUAUAAUGGGUCAGCGACUUAUAUUCUGUAGCAAGGUUAACCGUAUAGGGGAGCCGGAGGGAAACCGAGUCUUAACCGGGCGUUAAGUUGCAGGGUAUAGACCCGAAACCCGGUGAUCUAGCCAUGGGCAGGUUGAAGGUUGGGUAACACUAACUGGAGGACCGAACCGACUAAUGUUGAAAAAUUAGCGGAUGACCUGUGGCUGGGGGUGAAAGGCCAAUCAAACCGGGAGAUAGCUGGUUCUCCCCGAAAGCUAUUUAGGUAGCGCCUCGUGAAUUCAUCUCCGGGGGUAGAGCACUGUUUCGGCUAGGGGGCCAUCCCGGCUUACCAACCCGAUGCAAACUGCGAAUACCGGAGAAUGUUAUCACGGGAGACACACGGCGGGUGCUAACGUCCGUCGUGAAGAGGGAAACAACCCAGACCGCCAGCUAAGGUCCCAAAGUCAUGGUUAAGUGGGAAACGAUGUGGGAAGGCCCAGACAGCCAGGAUGUUGGCUUAGAAGCAGCCAUCAUUUAAAGAAAGCGUAAUAGCUCACUGGUCGAGUCGGCCUGCGCGGAAGAUGUAACGGGGCUAAACCAUGCACCGAAGCUGCGGCAGCGACACUCAGGUGUUGUUGGGUAGGGGAGCGUUCUGUAAGCCUGUGAAGGUGGCCUGUGAGGGUUGCUGGAGGUAUCAGAAGUGCGAAUGCUGACAUAAGUAACGAUAAAGCGGGUGAAAAGCCCGCUCGCCGGAAGACCAAGGGUUCCUGUCCAACGUUAAUCGGGGCAGGGUGAGUCGACCCCUAAGGCGAGGCCGAAAGGCGUAGUCGAUGGGAAACGGGUUAAUAUUCCCGUACU
rnacentral:rRNA from 1 species